UAUUCCCUAGAGGUGUUGCAGGUGUGGCUGCUGUGUACAUGUGUGUCAAUAAGUGGCAAAAACCAGAGAGGCUGUGUCUGUGCUCAGUGUUCUGAUCUAUGAACAUUUGAAUGAUUAGUACCCUAACAUU